rnacentral:lncRNA from 1 species
AAAAAGACACGUGAAGCACGGUGUUCAAGGAAUAAACAAUGAUUAGGGAGAUUACCUGCUGGGGUAUCGCUGUUCUCAACUCUCCGUUUCUGUCGAUCACCGUCAAGGGGCAGGUUAUACUGAAUAUGUUCAUGCGUGUGGACACAAUGAGACGAGGAUGAUUCCGAUGCUAUUUUAUUGCCACGAGAAUAUUUCCGCGAUUUCUGACGCGUCGGAAACUGCGAAUAGGCUGGUACUACCAAAAGACAGAGGACAGCAGAGAGUGUGAUCAUCCCCUCUCCUCACCGCCUCGUCCGGAGGCCACACCUAGACGCGAUAACGAAGAAUACGGUAUUCGAACGCCCCAGAGAGGUCAACCAAACGCACGCUGAAGAGCGAGAAGUUACAAACGCGUGCCCUUGUGUCAGUUCUCACGAUUUAUCGUUAUAUUCGAAGAAAUGACACCAGGAACAAAGGAUGUUCAGUGCCUGAUUGUGAAUAUGGGGGCGAUCGAAGGAAACACAAAGCGGAAAGUAACUCACCGAUUGGCUUAACUUUUGCGGCGAAGCAACGUUUUCGUCGUGAGUCGUUAGGAUCACGGCCAACCAUCUGACACUGAGAUGGUGAAGAGCAUGGAACUCCGCCGAGUUGUGUCGAUCGGUUGAGGGUUUCAGCAACAGCAGAAUGAACCAAAACACUGCGACAUGUUUUUCCUGAUUUUUGAUAGUAUAAAUCAGGUCUGAUUAAUGCUGUGCUGGUUGUUGCCGACGACCAGACUCGCGGAUAUCACUGACACGGAUGAUUCUACACGGUCAAGUAUAGAUUGUGCCCCAUCAUAGCGUGCUGAAAAGUCUUCGUCCUCAUCGAAUGGCAACGGUCGAAAGGCAUUACUUGAUUGCGGAGGAACAGGAACAGUUUACCACAGUAGCAGUUGAAUUGAACCCAAAAGUGGUAACUUUUCGUAAACCUUCGGGGGGUGCCUGCAUACUUCCAACUCGAUUGAGUAAAAUUGCUAUCCGCAGUAGUGCGAAACGAGAACCGGAUG